GAUGAACGCUGGCGGCGUGCCUAAUACAUGCAAGUCGAGCGAACAGAUGAGGAGCUUGCUCCUCUGACGUUAGCGACGGACGGGUGAGUAACACGUGGAUAACCUACCUAUAAGACUGGGAUAACUUCGGGCAACCGGAGCUAAUACCGGAUAAUAUAUUGAACCGCAUGGUUCAAUAGUGAAAGACGGUUUUGCUGUCACUUAUAGAUGGAUCCGCGCCGCAUUAGCUAGUUGGUAAGGUAACGGCUUACCAAGGCAACGAUGCGUAGCCGACCUGAGAGGGUGAUCGGCCACACUGGAACUGAGACACGGUCCAGACUCCUACGGGAGGCAGCAGUGGGGAAUCUUCCACAAUGGGCGAAAGCCUGACGGAGCAACGCCGCGUGAGUGAUGAAGGUCUUCGGAUCGUAAAGCUCUGUUAGUAGGGAAGAACAAAUGUGUAAGUAUCUAUGCACUCCUUGACGGUACCUAAUCAGAAAGCCACGGCUAACUACGUG
rnacentral:rRNA from 1 species